rnacentral:lncRNA from 1 species
AUGCCUAACGUUGAGUUGGAUGACUUUUUUGAGUCUCCAUCCGAACCUUUAUUCGACAGGUUAACGAAAGAUCAGUUGUGUCAGGUAUCUGCACACUACCAAUUUGAUAUAAAUCUUCCAAAGGGUUUUAAUAAACAAGAACUCAAAGAAGGUAUAAAAUCAAAAUUGGUAGACCUGUCGAUAAUAUCUAUAGGUACCGUCGAUUCAUCUGGUCCACCGACAGCGACGUCAACGCCAAAUGCAGGCGAAAAGAUGGUUAGUCUGGAAAACUCGGCCGAGGUCUUAAAGCUUCAGCUUGAGUACAAGCGCUUAGAAGCCGCGGAGCAAGAGAAGGGUCGAGCGUUUCAGCGUCAGUUUGAACUCAAACGCUUGGAAGCGGAACAAAAGAAGCGAGAGUAUGAGAGGGAGCGUGAAGCCUCGGAAAGAGAAAAUCGGCGAGAAAUAGACCUAAAACGGUUAGAGGCCGAGGAAAAGAAGCGGGUGGAUGAAAGGGAAGAAAGAGAGAAAGAGCGCCUAUUCGAGCGGGAAAAAAUAAGAAUACAACAACAUAUCCAAACAGAGAGGCUGAGAUUGAUAGAUGAAGGAAAGAUGCGGAGUGGGGAGGAUUCUCCUGUGUCGUCGGACACGCACGGCGUUCUGUCGAGGAUGAUUCGAUUUCUACCUAAAUUUAAUGAACGUGACCCCGAUAUCUUCUUUUCGCUUUUUGAGGGUAUUGCUGAUGAGCACAGUUGGAAUGACACUCAGCGCACGUUAUUACUGCAAACUUUCUUUACGGGGAGAGCCCAAGAUGCAUUUGUGGCGUUGUCAUCUACAGAGCGCAAACAGUAUAGUCGCGUCAAAGAGGCGGUUCUGCGAACAUAUGAACAAGUGCCAGAGUAUUACAGACAGCGGUUCAGAAACUGGAAGAGAGGUGAACGGCAAACUUAUGCUGAACUUGGUAGGGAUCUUGGUGCAUUUUUUACGCGCUGGCUUCACUCAGUCAAUGUGACUACUUUUGAGGGAUUGUGCGAAUUAAUCACACUGGAACAAUUUAAGAAUAUCAUCCCUGAGCGGCUGACUACGUUUAUCAAUGAGCACACCGUUUCAACAGUUUCUGAGGCUGCA